UGUCCGCAAUGAGUUGCUAUUGCUAAUACCAAUAGAAUAGACUGUGUCCCAUUAGCUAACUCUGGGUGUACAUGAGUUAACCUCACCUUCUGGACAUGAUGUGGGGACACCUGAGACGA